CCUGCUGCCACACCGGCAGAGACGAUGGUAGCUAGCAGGCAGAGACGAUGGUAGCUAGCAGGCAGAGACGAUGGUAGCUAGCAGGCAGAGACAGUGGUAGCUAACAGACAUAGACGAUGUUAGCUAGCAGGCAGAGACGAUGGUAGCUAGCAGGCAGAGACGAUGGUAGCUAGCAUGCAGUCACGAUGGUAGCUAACAAGGAGAGACGAUGGUUGGUAGCAGGCAGAGACGGUGGUAGCUAGCAUGCAGUCACGAUGGUAGCUAACAAGGAGAGACGAUGGUAGCUUGCCGGCAGAGACGAUGGUAGCUAGCAUGCAGUCACGAUGGUAGCUAACAAGGAGAGACGAUGGUAGCUUGCCGGCAGAGACGAUGGUAGCUAGCAUGCAGUCACGAUGGUAGCUAACAAGGAGAGACGAUGGUUGGUAGCAGGCAGAGACGAUGGUAGCUAGCAUGCAGUCACGAUGGUAGCUAACAAGGAGAGACGAUGGUAGCUUGCCGGCAGAGACGAUGGUAGCUAGCAUGCAGUCACGAUGGUAGCUAACAAGGAGAGACGAUGGUUGGUAGCAGGCAGAGACGGUGGUAGCUAACAGACAUAGACAAUGGUAGCUUGCCGGCAGAGACGAUGGUAGCUAGCAGACAGAGACGAUGGUAGCUAGCAGGCAGAGACGAUGGUAGCUAGCAGAGGGAGACGAUGGCCUAAUGUAGCCGGGGCAUCUUGUCCCGGAAUGAUGUGCUGCGCACUCUUCCUCUUGCCCAUAUAUGGAAGACGCAGUGACAGAGGACAGCUGCUUUGUUAGCGAGACAGGUAAUCAGCAUUUAAAGGCAGGUAGAUCUCUGAGGAGAUCAGAUCCCAGGCUGAUGAUUCCUGCAGAGGCAAGAUACUGGUCUGCUCCCAGUGCCUCUGUGGCAGCAUUUAAUAACCUGCUGCUGGGAACUAUGGUUCUAUAGAAUAUACUACUAUUAUUAAUGAUGAUGAUGAUUCUAGAUGCUGCAGCAGAUAUUGGCUAAACAAACCCAGAGAUGCCAGAGGUCCACAGCAGGCUGGACUUCCUGCUCUGCUCACUUCAUUUCUAACUCACUUCCUGCUUGGUGGAAGAUCUCAAGGAGCCAAACGGCCUAGUCCAAGUCCGAGCUGUGAGCAGUUCCUCCUCCUCUCCGUCAUCUCCAGUAGUUUCCUUCAUCAGCUCAGUCAGCCUCUUCAUCAGCUGCUUCAGCUCCUUUGAGGCUCUGAUGCUGCAGCUCCAUCAGAUGCUGCAGAGAAAACUGAACUUUCCUUCACAGAUGAUAGAAGAUCUUCAACAUCUGACUGCAGCUGAAGGUCUGAGGACAUGAAGCCUGGACCAGAACCAGAACCAGAACCUGGACUUUAACCAGGACCUGCACAGAUUCUCUGUGGGGUCAAACUCAGUAAAUUGAAGAUCAGAUGUUGAUCAGAUGAUGACAUCACUGUUAUCAUAUUUUAGUCUGUUUAUGAUCCAGAUUGAUUUCAUUAGAACUGAAUUUAUUUCUUCUCUAAUCACAGACUUGGUGGCUGUUGGAUCCAAAAGGCUGAAUGUGAAGUUUUGGCCUCGGCUCUGAAGUCCAACCCAGAUCUGACUGAACUGGAAAUAAGUGACAUCAUACUGGGAGGUGAAACCUUUGGAGACUCUGAUCUGAAGCCUCUGGUUGAGAUCCUGGAGAGUUCAGUCAGUAAAGUGAAGAAACUGAGAUUGUUUUACUGCAGGUUGACAAAGAUCAGCUGUGAUUAUUUGGCCUCAACUCUGAAGUCCAACCCGACCCGUCUGACAAAACUGGACCUGAGAUUGAACAACCUGAAGGAUUCAGAUGUUCAGCAGCUGAAGGAUCUUGUAGAGACUGUUGGAGGACAGAUUGGUGAUCUGUGCAAAGUAGAAAAUGGUCUCUGUGUCCUGCUGAUCCUCAGAGGUUGAAGCUGCAGCAGUUUGAGUCUAAAGAGACUCUGACUGGAUCAUGAUGAUGACCUCUGACCUCCAAGAUUUCCCUCCUGUUUAUUUUCUCAUGUCUGAUAUUGUUUGUCUCUUUGGAUCAAUAAAGAUCCAAUUCAAACUGGGCUCCAUUUAGAGGCUUCAUGGAGUUUUGAUCUGAACUGGAUUCAACUGGAAAGUUGAUCUUUUUUCUCUCUGAUUCAUUUUCAUCCUGGAACCAGAAAUAUUAAUUAAUAUUAUUAUUAAUAUUAACAGUUUCCAGGCUGCAUUUGCUUCAUCCUGAUUCAGUUUCUGGACGUUUUCAUCUUAUUAGAUGUUUUUUGCAGAUAUUUGCGUCAUGAAGCUCAUUUUAUCUGCAAACAGGUCAAUGAGUCAUUGAUGGUUUAUUCAAUCAGAGAAUGAAGAUUUUCUUCAUGAUUUUAAAUCAAAUAGUUUUAUUUCUGUCUUUCUGAAGGUCAAAUCUAAAUCUUAAUAAAGAUAAAGUUUCAUCUGCUGCAGCUUUACCUUUGGUAGCAUUGGAAACACUUUUCAGAGACUUUCAGAUCUGCUUUGAAGGAUCUUCUCUGUUCUUCCUGCAGAACUUCAUAGAAAUGUUUCUCCAUCUAAAUGUUGCCCUCAGUCAGAAAACUCUUUCCUCUAAACUAGAUCUCAACUUCCUGGUUCCUUCCUUCCUCUACAAAGAUCCUCUGUUCAUGUUCAUAUCUUCAUCUUGACUCCAUUUUCUUUUGUCCUCCAAUGAAACGUCUUCUUGUUCUUGUAGAUUUUCUUUUUCAGUCAAUAAAAAUGGCUUUAAAUUUCCACUGAGAAGGUUCUUCUGCUGUGUUAUUUCAUGAACAGCAGCAUCUUUCCUUCAGUUAAUUAAUAUUUGCUCAGUUUUAUAAUUAAUCUCAUUCAUCUUUAAACUAGUCUGAAGGAUUUUAGUGUGUAUCUACAGGCUUUGACCACAGGAUGGCGGUAGAGAGCGAGCCUGGUAAAGACAGAAACAGAAAAUCUUUUAUUUACUACAGUUGGCUAAUAUUUUAAAAAUUAUCCACAAUUAAUAUUUCUGCGAGAAUUUUAAUUAAAUGAGUUUUUCAGUUACUACAUUUCUAUAGAGACAAAUAUGUCAAAUAUGAUAAUGAGAUUAAUUUCCAGUAUUCUGCUUGUAUUCAUAUUCUUCCCAUGGAAACCAAAGAUAAUAACUUUACACCUUAGUGAAAAUGUUGUAUCAAAAUGACAAAUUAUAAAGUGAAAUUUCUUUGUGCCAUGACAAGAUCAUAAUAAAUGAUUGUUUUCAAAACUUACA